ACGACAACGAAAAUUAAUACAAUCAUAACCAUGAAAUUUUAUAUAUUUGUGUUACUGGCUACUAUUCUGCGCAUUGGGCUCUGCCUGUCUAUCUCCAAAACUCCAACGAAGUAUUUAUGUCCGAAAAGUCUCUGUGCUGACAAUCCAGAGUGUAACGUUGCCCCCAAAAAGUUUUUACCAUGUACAUCGCUAACACCGCCAAACAUUUACUCUUGUGACUGUCAUCCUUUAUCAAGAGAUACUGGUCGAUAAAGACAAUUAUGGUACAAAACUAACAAUGUCAAAAUAAAGGCAUAUCUACAUCUA